GACGAACCGUGCGAACGUUGUUCGGAAUCACUGGGCUUAAAGGGCGCGUAGGUGGUUUGCCAAGUCGGGGUUGAAAUCUUUCGGCUUAACCGGAAAAGUGGCUUCGAUACUGGCAAGCUGGAGGGAGGUAGGGGCGGAUGGAACUUCCGGUGGAGCGGUGAAAUGUGUUGAUAUCGGAAGGAACGCCGGUGGCGAAAGCGAUCCGCUGGACCUCUUCUGACACUGAGGCGCGAAAGCCAGGGGAGCAAACGGGAUUAGAAAGCCCGGGGUAAGUCCCAG
rnacentral:rRNA from 1 species